CCUUCCCCUAAAAGCAUUGCAGGAGUGGCCUCUGUGUCACAUGUGUAUCAGUAGGUGGCAGAGAUGAGAGAGGCAAUGUCUACAUUCAGUGUUCUGACCUAUGGACACCUGAAUGAUUAGUAGCCUAACAUU